GGGUCUAACAUUAGCGGGUCUAACGUUAGCGGGCUGGGUCUAACAUUAGCGGGCUGGGUCUAACAUUAGCAGGCUGGGUCUAACAUUAGCGGGCUGGGUCUGACAUUAGCAGGCUGGGUCUGACAUUAGCAGGCUGGGUCUGACAUUAGCGGGCUGGGUCUAACAUUAGCGGGCUGGGUCUGACAUUAGCAGGCUGGGUCUGACAUUAGCGGGCUGGGUCUAACAUUAGCGGGUCUGACAUUAGCAGGCUGGGUCUGACAUUAGCGGGCUGGGUCUGACAUUAGCGGGUCUAACGUUAGCAGGCUGGGUCUAACAUUAGCGGGUCUGACGUUAGCGGGCUGGGUCUAACAUUAGCGGGCUGGGUCUAACAUUAGCAGGCUGGGUCUAACAUUAGCGGGCUGGGUCUAACAUUAGCAGGCUGGGUCUAACAUUAGCGGGCUGGGUCUGACAUUAGCAGGCUGGGUCUGACAUUAGCAGGCUGGGUCUGACAUUAGCGGGCUGGGUCUAACAUUAGCGGGCUGGGUCUGACAUUAGCGGGUCUAACAUUAGCAGGCUGGGUCUGACAUUAGCAGGCUGGGUCUGACAUUAGCGGGCUGGGUCUGACAUUAGCAGGCUGGGUCUGACAUUAGCGGGCUGGGUCUAACAUUAGCGGGUCUGACAUUAGCAGGCUGGGUCUGACAUUAGCGGGCUGGGUCUGACAUUAGCGGGUCUAACGUUAGCAGGCUGGGUCUAACUGUCCCUCCUCCUCACUCCCUGGCCCUGCAACUCCGAGAACUUCUCCCAAGCUGCGUCACAGUUUAUGGCCCCACUGACGCGUAUUGUCACUAUGACAACUAACAACAAUCGCCAUUUUGUUGUGUACCAAUCAAAUGACCACAAGAAACUGUUCGGUGGCCUUUCUAUCCAUUUUAUUUCUAUGGUCAGACGUGUCAAAGACUUUGAAUUAAAGCGUCUUUUGACAUUUAAUCAAAUGCAAAACAAAUGUAGCAUCUGCUGUGUUUUUUAUGACGAAAUGUUCUUUUUUUUACAGUAAUAAUGCCCUUCAUACAUUCUCAUGUGCUCUUUCCUCUCUGUGGGAUUUUGAUUUUAUAAACUGCUUUCACUUCAAACAUUGAUUGGUUGUUGCUUUUUUUUACUUUUACUUUGGGGGAAAAAAAGGGUUUUUGGGCGGAUGAGUAGAAGCUCUGCUGGAAAUUAUGCGACAUUUAUUUCAGUAUAACUGAUUAUGUAUUUUCUCUUUUUUGAUUAGUAUUAUCUGUGCCUGAUGAAUUACUGUAUCUAAGAAAUGAAAAGAAAUCAUUAACUGGGGGAGUUAUUAGGUUGAUAUUAGUUCAUUGUGAUUUUGAAUUUGCCGAAAUGUUUGAGUUUGUUUUCUACGCUUUUGAUAACAAACAAUGAUGAUUUAUGUUUUGUGAAUGAUUCCACACAGCGUACGAUUUUUUUAAUAAACAUCAUCCAAUAAACUGUG